UGCUGAGACUCCAGGGCUCAGUGCUGGGGCUCCAGGGCACUGCUGGAGCCUCAGGGCUCCAUGCUGGGGCUCCAGGGCUCGGUGCUGGGGCCAGUGCUGCCCAGCAGUUACCUGUGAUCUGGAGGGAGCAAUCAAGUGCAUCCUCAGUGAGUUCAUGUGUCCAUGAAAAUACGGCUGGGACAGGGACUGCUGAGGGCAGGAAGGCUGUGCAGAGGGAUCGGGAUGGGCUGGACAAUGGGCCAAGGCCAACAGUGUGAGGGUCAACAAGGGCCUCAACAAGGCUGGGUCUUCCUCUGGGGUCAGCAAAACCCCCUGCAACACUGGGCUGGGACAGGAGCUGGAAAGCUGGGAAAGAACCUGGCGCUGCUAGUGACAGCAGCUGGACACGAGCCCAGGUGUGUCCAGGUGGGCAAGAGGCCGGCCGAUGGCAUCUGGGCUGUGCCAGCCCCAGUGUGGGCACAGCCCCAGGGCAGGAUUGUCCCCUGUGCUGGCACUGCGAGACCCUCGAGGGCUGUGUCCAGUUCUGGGUCCUGCAAAAGACACUGUGUCCGGCUGUGGGCACCUGGAGAUAUCCAAAUUCCCACGAGAAAGGCACUGAGGGGCUGGAGUGUCCAGGGAAAGAAACAGAGCUGGGAAGGGGCUGGAGCCCCAGAGGGGCUGAGGGAGCUGGAAAGGGGCUCAGCCUGGAGAAAAGGAGGCUCAGGGGGACCUUCCCAGGAAACAAGUGACAGGACAAGAGAAACCAGCCACAAGCUGUGCUUGGAGAGGUUCGGUUGGACAUCAGGAGGAAUUUCUUCAUGGAAAGGGCUGCCACAUACUGGCAGGGGCUGCCCGGGGAGGUUUGGAGUCCCCAUCCCUGGAGGUGUCCGAGGAGCAGCUGGAGGUGGCACACAGUGCUCUGGGCUGAGUGACACAGUGGGGGUCAGUGACAGGCUGGACUCAGCCUUGGAGGUCAUCAAGCAAAGGGACUGUGCUCCUGCUCAGGGUCAGACCGGCGCACACGGGGUGCGGGGACCCCGCACAGCCUGUGUCACUGUCGCUGCUCCCGCCCGGCCCCCGG
rnacentral:lncRNA from 1 species